rnacentral:snRNA from 1 species
AUACUCGCUUUGACAGCAUAUAUACUAAAAUUGGAACAAUACAGAGAUUAGCAUGGCCCCUGCGCAAGAAUGACAUGCAAAUUCAUGAAGUGUUCCAUAUUUUU